UACGAAGGGGGCUAGCGUUGCUCGGAAUUACUGGGCGUAAAGGGAGCGUAGGCGGACAGUUUAGUCAGAGGUGAAAGCCCAGGGCUCAACCUUGGAAUUGCCUUUGAUACUGGCUGUCUUGAGUACGGGAGAGGUGUGUGGAACUCCGAGUGUAGUGGUGAAAUUCGUAGAUAUUCGCAAGAACACCAGUGGCGAAGGCGGCCAACUGGUCCGGUACUGACGCUGAGGUGCGAAAGCGUGGGGAGCAAACAGG
rnacentral:rRNA from 1 species